UACGUAGGGGGCAAGCGUUGUCCGGAAUCAUUGGGCGUAAAGAGCGUGUAGGCGGCUUGAUAAGUCGGCUGUGAAAGUCAAGGGCUCAACCCUUGAAUGCCGGCCGAUACUGUCAAGCUAGAGUCCGGAAGAGGCGAGUGGAAUUCCUGGUGUAGCGGUGAAAUGCGCAGAUAUCAGGAGGAACACCAAUGGCGAAGGCAGCUCGCUGGGACGACACUGACGCUGAGGCGCGAAAGCGUGGGGAGCGAACAGG
rnacentral:rRNA from 1 species